UACGGAGGGGGCUAGCGUUGUUCGGAAUUACUGGGCGUAAAGCGCACGUAGGCGGCUUUGUAAGUUAGAGGUGAAAGCCCGGGGCUCAACUCCGGAAUUGCCUUUAAGACUGCAUCGCUAGAAUUGUGGAGAGGUAAGUGGAAUUCCGAGUGUAGAGGUGAAAUUCGUAGAUAUUCGGAAGAACACCAGUGGCGAAGGCGGCUCACUGGACCACAACUGACGCUGAGGCACGAAAGCUAGGGGAGCAAACAGG
rnacentral:rRNA from 1 species